rnacentral:rRNA from 1 species
GAUGAACGCUGGCGGCGUGCUUAACACAAGCAAGUCGAACGAUGAAGCUCAGCUUGCUGGGUGGAUUAGUGGCGAACGGGUGAGUAACACGUGAGUAACCUGCCCUUAACUCUGGGAUAAGCCUGGGAAACUAGGUCUAAUACCGGAUAGGAGCGUCCACCGCAUGGUGGGUGUUGGAAAGAUUUAUCGGUUUUGGAUGGACUCGCGGCCUAUCAGCUUGUUGGUGAGGUAAUGGCUCACCAAGGCGACGACGGGUAGCCGGCCUGAGAGGGUGACCGGCCACACUGGGACUGAGACACGGCCCAGACUCCUACGGGAGGCAGCAGUGGGGAAUAUUGCACAAUGGGCGAAAGCCUGAUGCAGCGACGCCGCGUGAGGGAUGACGGCCUUCGGGUUGUAAACCUCUUUCAGUAGGGAAGAAGCGAAAGUGACGGUACCUGCAGAAGAAGCACCGGCUAACUACGU